UACGAAGGGUGCAAGCGUUAAUCGGAAUUACUGGGCGUAAAGGGUGCGUAGGCGGUUGUUUAAGUCUGUCGUGAAAUCCCCGGGCUCAACCUGGGAAUGGCGAUGGAUACUGGGCAGCUAGAGUGUGUCAGAGGAUGGUGGAAUUCCCGGUGUAGCGGUGAAAUGCGUAGAGAUCGGGAGGAACACCAGUGGCGAAGGCGGCCUUCUGAACCAAUACUGACGCUCAUGCACGAAAGCGUGGGGAGCAAACAGG
rnacentral:rRNA from 1 species